rnacentral:rRNA from 1 species
GACGAACGCUGGCGGCGUGCUUAACACGCGCAAGUCGAACGGUAAGGCCCUUCGGGGUACACGAGUGGUGAACGGGUGAGUAACACGUGGGUGAUCUGCCCUGCACUUCGGGAUAAGCCUGGGAAACUGGGUCUAAUACCGGAUAGGACCACUGCCUGCAUGGGUGGUGGUGGAAAGCUUUUGCGGUGUGGGAUGGGCCCGCGGCCUAUCAGCUUGUUGGUGGGGUGAUGGCCUACCAAGGCGACGACGGGUAGCCGGCCUGAGAGGGUGACCGGCCACACUGGGACUGGGAUACGGCCCAGACUCCUACGGGAGGCAGCAGUGGGGAAUAUUGCACAAUGGGCGCAAGCCUGAUGCAGCGACGCCGCGUGAGGGAUGACGGCCUUCGGGUUGUAAACCUCUUUCAGCACCGACGAAGCGCAAGUGACGGUAGGUGCAGAAGAAGGACCGGCCAACUACGUGCCAGCCGCCGCAGUAA